rnacentral:misc_RNA from 1 species
GUAUAAGUUUAUAGGCACAAAGGCCCAUUAAUUACAUUCUAUAACAUACAUUGGGGUAUAUGAAGAAAACAUAGACCUAGAAAUGUAAGGAGAGACAGAAAAAGUCAGUCCUCAAACCUGAAUGCUAAAAAGCAUUCAGAAAGCUAUCCAGGUCUACAAAGUGUGCACAGGUGGAGAUAUAAAGACGACAGGUGUGCACAUGUGUCCCAUAUAGAGAACCAGCAACAACCCAUCAGGUUUAUUUCAAUAAUGAUCCUUCCGCAGGUUCACCUACGGAAA